rnacentral:rRNA from 1 species
GAUGAACGCUGGCGGCGUGCCUAAUACAUGCAAGUCGAGCGAACGGACGAGAAGCUUGCUUCUCUGAUGUUAGCGGCGGACGGGUGAGUAACACGUGGAUAACCUACCUAUAAGACUGGGAUAACUUCGGGAAACCGGAGCUAAUACCGGAUAAUAUUUUGAACCGCAUGGUUCAAAAGUGAAAGACGGUCUUGCUGUCACUUAUAGAUGGAUCCGCGCUGCAUUAGCUAGUUGGUAAGGUAACGGCUUAUCAAGGCAACGAUGCAUAGCCGACCUGAGAGGGGGAUCGGCCACACUGAGACUGAGACACGGGCCAGACUCCGACGGGAGGCAGCAGUAGCGAAGCGUCCGCAAUGGGCGAAAGCCUGACGGAGCAGCGCAGCGUGAGUGAUGAAGGUCUUCGGGUCGUAAAACGCUGUUAUUAGGGAAGAACAUAUGUGUAAGUAACUGUGCACAUCUUGACGGAACCUAAUCAGAAAGCCACGGCUAACUACGU